rnacentral:rRNA from 1 species
CCUACGGGAGGCUGCAGUGGGGAAUAUUGGACAAUGGGCGAAAGCCUGAUCCAGCCAUGCCGCGUGUGUGAAGAAGGCCUUCGGGUUGUAAAGCACUUUCAGUGGGGAAGAAAGCCUUGGGGCUAAUACCCUCGAGGAAGGACAUCACCCACAGAAGAAGCACCGGCUAACUCCGUGCCAGCAGCCGCGGUAAUACGGAGGGUGCGAGCGUUAAUCGGAAUUACUGGGCGAAAAGCGCGCGUAGGCGGUCUGAUAAGCCGGUUGUGAAAGCCCCGGGCUCAACCUGGGAACGGCAUCCGGAACUGUCAGGCUAGAGUGCAGGAGAGGAAGGUAGAAUUCCCGGUGUAGCGGUGAAAUGCGUAGAGAUCGGGAGGAAUACCAGUGGCGAAGGCGGCCUUCUGGACUGACACUGACGCUGAGGUGCGAAAGCGUGGGUAGCAAACAGGAUUAGAUACCCCAGUAGUC